rnacentral:rRNA from 1 species
GUGAAGCCCCGGGCUCAACCUGGGACUGCAUUUCGAACUGGCAACUAGAGUGUGAUAGAGGNUGGUAGAAUUUCAGGUGUAGCGGUGAAAUGCGUAGAGAUCUGAAGGAAUACCGAUGGCGAAGGCAGCCACCUGGGUCAACACUGACGCUCAUGUACGAAAGCGUGGGGAGCAAACGGGAUUAGAUACCCCGGUAGUCCACGCCGUAAACGAUGUCUACUAGAAGCUCGGAACCUCGGUUCUGUUUUUCAAANUAACGCAUUAAGUAGACCGCCUGGGGAGUACGGCCGCAAGGUUAAAACUCAAAUGAAUUGACGGGGGCCGCACAAGCGGUGGAGCAUGUGGUUUAAUUCGAUGCAACGCGAAGAACCUUACCUACACUU